ensembl:lncRNA
UGAUGCAAGUAGCAACAGGAAGUCAUACUUUCCCCUAGAUUUCAAACUUGCAAACAAAGUGGAGUAUACAAGUCCUGGUGGUCCCGAGACACUACACACCUGCAGUCGCAUCCCUUCUAAAACAAGCACUCAGUGUGGGAAACCUGGGGUGAGAGGAGCUGAGUAUUCCCAUGGGAAUUCGAAUGUGAGCCAUGGACCGACACUCCCACCUCCACCUGCCCUGAAACCUCUAGAGGUGGGGCAGAAUGCUCCAGGUGGGGAUAGUAAAGCAGACAAACCAGAGAAAGGUGAUAAGUCUGUUCCACCCUCCUUGCUUCCACAAACUAGUACGGUUCCCCAGCAACCUCCUCCUCCCAACACUCACCAUUACACCCCCACCAGCUGGUCAGGGGGACCUCCUUCUAGUUGUCCUGGCAACUGGGGAUAUGUACGUUACCCAGGUAACCACCACACACAUCCAAGCCAGCAGCCCCCAGUGCAGCAACAGCUUCCCUCUGUGUACAAUUCUCCUUCAUCCACCCGACACUCCUCCCACCCACCUUACUUAUCUCACCCUCAUCCCCACCCACACAAAGAGUUCCUGCCCAGGUAUAGCACUGCAGCUGAGCGGGAGAGGGGUGGGAGGGAAUUUGGCAACAGAGACUUCCCUGCAAGUAAUAGCAGUAGCAAUGCAAACAGCAGCAGCGGUAGCAUCUGUGGUAGCAUUUCUGGUGGUGGAGGACCCAACUCUAAUGUGGGCCGGGAUUUUGGGAACUCGCUACCUGGACAGAACAGCGAAUAUAGCGCAAACCGGGAUGGACCUGCAGGACCACAGAGUGGUCGGGAAUAUGGACCAGGGUUUAGAGAUCGGGAACGAGGAACUGGGAGGGAGUUUCCUCUGCAAAACCAGCAGCUUCAAGCACAGGGCAGAGAGUUUGGAACUGAAAGCACUGGAGGGGGUGGAUUUCAUCCAAGAGACAAGGACAGUAGGUGGGGAGAUUUAGCAGGCCAAGUUAGGGAGGCAGGAAGUAACAGUUAUGCUGGUAAUGCCAACCAAGCACCUGUAGGUGCCCCACCAUCUGCUUUACCUUCGGCGACCCUGGUGAACCGUGACCCAGCCAGUUCACCACAAAACAGCUCUGGUCAUCCUCCCUUUCCCUCGACAAAUUCCAUCCCCACAAGUAGAGACUAUCCCUCUCCAAUAGAUGCAAAUGUGCAGCAGACACUACAAGGACAGACUCCCCAAGCAGCCUCCAAUACUGCAGACCUUCCUCCCCCUCCAAUCUAUUUAAGAGAGUACCCUCCUCCAGGGUCAAACGAUCCUUACCCACCCCCUGGAUCAACCUCUUCUUCUGUCCCACUUUCUGGUGUGCCAAGGGAGUUCCCGAGCCCACCUGGACUGGCCCCAAAUCUUACUCGGGAGUAUCCUGGAGGACCUCCACUUCCACAUCACCCUCACUAUCCUGUCAAGACAGCCUUGUCUAUGCAGCGCAGAGACAGAGAGAGGGAAAAGGACAACACUACAUCUACUCUUCAUUCAAAUCGCAAUCACUCUCAAUCCCUUUCUCCUUCAUCAAGUGGUUCUGGACCUGGUCAUCCAAACUCUACUUCAUAUCCCCCUGCACCUCCUCCACCCUCCACUAGUUCACAUUGUCAGCCCACAUCCAUUACAUCCCUUCCAGGCAAUCAUGCUCGACAGGGCCCUUAUUCUUCAUCCAAUAAGACUCCACCAGCCCCGCUCUCUCCUAUUCCCAAUCCGAUGGGAGGGUUUACUCCUUUUCCAUCAACCUCUGCUCCUUCUGUACCACUUCCUGCAUCAGGUGUAUCCACCUCUUGUUCAUCAGGUUGCAGGCCUACUCCUUACCAUGGCACUUUAAGCAGUCAUACUCCUUUCAGUAGCUCAUACCAUGGCAAUGGUAACCAUGGAAAUAGCAAUGCCAAUGGCAAUGCUCCCAACAACAGCAAUAGCACUAGCACUCCAUCAUUAUUGCACUCCCCUCAAAACACUAAAGUACAACCGCAUCUCAAUAAUCCCUGUCAUAACAACACUGCUUCAACCCCCAGCACAUCUGUUGGAGUAGAUGGUCACUCUGAUUCAUCUUCUGGCCCAGUGCCACCACCUGUCAUCAAGGAGGAGCCAGUAGAGGACAGGGAGGAGUUGGAGAGCCCUCCUCCAGUUCUCCGAAGUCCUUCCCCAGAACCAAAACCUGUUGACAUUCCAGUUCAUGCCAGCCAAUCAGCUCGCUUUGGAAGAAGAGAAAUGAGGCCAUAG